rnacentral:lncRNA from 1 species
CCAAUUUCACUCUAUUGACCUAAUCAACUACUCUCUCACACCCUUGACGAUUUAUCUCUCUCAGACAAUUAGACUUUCCUUAGUCCUCUCGCUCGAUAGUCAGAGAAAAUUUACAGCAGCUUUCAGUUAUUAGUGAAGGUCAUUAUUCUGUGGUUUAUCAAGGAUUGUGAGUCCCCUUUUCUCUUUGAACUCUACUUCUUACUAUAACUCUAUUUUCUGGUUCUAGUAAUCUUGAAUUAAGUUCUUGAGCUUUAUCUUUGUUGUGGAAUCCCUAUUUAAUUUUGGUUUGAAACUUUGAAUUUUCUAUUAUAUCUUUGUAGAAAUGUACUGUUAUUGAUGUCAUCUCCUAAAACAGUAAGGAAGGUUUUCCUAUGGGAAAUUUUAUCAAACACAUUAUGGGCAUCGGUAUUGCUUUGGUUUUCCUAAGGAAAAGAUUAAUGUUUUUUGGUUGUUGAUGUGGAAAUGACGUUCAAUAUUUGUAUGGGAUGAUGGAAAUCUAUGUUGCACCAAAAGGUACUGGCAAAACCAUUUGACCCAUUUAAAUUUAAUUUGAAGGCCGGAAAUGAUACAAAAGACAUGGUGCAGUAAUAAUGUCUUAUGUCUAAACAUGAACAUAUGAAGCGAUAUAUACUGAAUUUUGUUGCUUAUGGACAAUGUUCUUCUGCCAAAAAAGAUUGAUGCUAAUAUGAAUAGAAAUAAAAUGUGGAUAAAGGGGUUGGAACUUGGGCACCGCUAAGUCUAAGAGGCUUAACUGUCUUAGUAUGUUUGCAUAUGCAUGGAAUAGUACCUGUCGUUCUAGUGUGGGUCUGAACCUAAGAGUGAGAGAGAGAACCUGGCAAUGAUACAUUCUUUUCUAUUAGAUUCAUGACAUAGCAGUAUUUUGUAGAGCAACUUUCUUUGGCGAAAUCCUCCAAUAAUAGAUUGUCUCCUUUGAAGUAUAAUUAAAGUUGGUGCCAUGUUUCUGUCAUAAACUGCUUGGGGAUGCAUAUAUAGUUUUUGUUUAAAUGCUUAAUUGACUCUUUUUUCACUUUUCAUGUGCACUUAGAAAUGUCUUAUAAUAUCAAUUUAGCUUCUUUUUUUUUUGUAGAAAAGUAUGGAGUCUCAAAAUGAAAAAAAUUCAGUUGGUUCAUCUUCUAGUACUUUUUCUAUAGAGAGUGAGAAUCAAUUGCAUAUGCAAGUCGAUGAAGUUACUACUGAAGUUAUUGAUGAAACAGGAAAAGAAAACUUAUUUCUGACACAUGGAAGCCUUUUAAACCGGUGAUGAUUAAUCGUCUUUGUUUUGGUAUUUGUAAGUAUUGUAAUACUCGUCUCAAAUCAACAAGAAAUUAUGGGACAUCGUCCAUGUUAGAUCAUAUCCGUAGUCGAUGUCGCAGAAAGACAAGUAACUUGGACAAUUAUUGUAGUUCCGGGGGUGAUGGUAGUCAACAACAUUAUUUUGAUCAAGAUGUUUCACGCAGAGAACUAGCUCAUGCUAUCAUUUUGCACGAGUAUCCAUUGUCCAUUGUUGAUUAUGUAGGACUUAGGAAGUUUGUUGCUAGUCUCGAACCGUUGUUCAAAAUGGUGUCUAGGAACAUAAUUAAGAAUGAUAUACUGAAGAUUUUUGACAAUUUGAAAUCAAAAACUUCUAUGUUAUUGGAAAUACUCACAAGUAAAAUUGCAAUAACAACUGAUAUGUGGACUUCGGACAAUACCAAAAAGGGUUCAUGGUAUUACAACACAUUUUAUCGAUGAUUCAUGGGGAGUUCAAAGCCAUAUUCUUAGAUUUAUUUCCUGCCCUACAUGAUAAGGAUACUUUGUGCAGUGCGUUGCUUAAUUGCUUAGUGGAAUCUUGAAAGAAGAACUUCAACAAUUACAAUUGAUAAUUGUAGCACAAACAAUGCUAUGAUUAAAACCUUGCUAGAUGAGAAACUUUGUAAAAGGGAUUUAUUGUUUAUGGAUCCAAUGUUACAUGUGCGUUAUGCCACACAUAUCUUGAAUUUGAUUGUGCAAGAAGGACUAAAGGUGAUGCAAGAUUGUAUUAAUAAUGUGCGUGAAAGUGUCUUAUAUUGGAUAGGGUCUUCAGGCAGAAUCAAAACGUUUGAAGAAGCUACAUGAUUGCUACAUACUUCUUGUAACAAAAAGUUAGAGUAUGACUGUCCAACUCGUUGGAACUCAACAUAUCUAAUACUGAGAACAACCCUAGAAUACAAAGAUGUAUUUAUGAAGUUGAUCCUCAAUGGCUUUAGAAGUUUUCCAACCGAAUUGCAAUGGAAUGCAGCACCCCUAUAGAUCCACCUUUCUUCAAAAUAAAGAUAUAGCAACUAAAAGAAAGCUAAAUCGAAUCGGAAUAGGAUAAAGAACGCACGAAGGAUCAGAGAGAAAGAGGAUUCUAAAAGCGAAAAGCCUAGAAGACUAGAUUGUCAGACUCGGAGGUAGCAGUAAGAUCUCUGUCUCCAGAGAAGGCAUGAGGUUUUUCUAAAAGUCUCCUCUCAUUACUUAUGGAUAAAGCUCUUAAGCUUAAGCUUUUACGAACUGAAAGAUCUUCCCAUUCUAAAUAAGAAUGAGAGUCUUUCAACUAAAAGAAAGCUAAAUCGAAUCGGAAUAGGAUAAAGAACGCACGAAGGAUCAGAGAGAAAGAGGAUUCUAAAAGCGAAAAGCCUAGAAGACUAGAUUGUCAGACUCGGAGGUAGCAGUAAGAUCUCUGUCUCCAGAGAAGGCAUGAGGUUUUUCUAAAAGUCUCCUCUCAUUACUUAUGGAUAAAGCUCUUAAGCUUAAGCUUUUACGAACUGAAAGAUCUUCCCAUUCUAAAUAAGAAUGAGAGUCUGAAGUUUGUGAUACAUUAAAGCUUUUCUACCAUAUUACUGAAGAAUUCUCAGGGACCCAAUAUCCCACUUCUAUUCAAAAUUUUUCUAAAGUUUAUGAUAUUAAGCUAGAAUUGGAUGUCUUGGUGAAAAGUUUAAAUCCUUUGAUUAGCGCUAUAACAUCAACAAUGUUUUUGAAAUUUUAGAAAUAUUGGGAUAAAGUGCACAUUUUGAUAAGUGUAGCUGCUAUCUUUGAUCCGAGAUAUAAGAUGAGGUUGGUGGAAUUCUAUCUUAUACAUAUUUAUGGUGGAGAAGUUGCUUCAAAUAAAAUUCAAGAAGUUCGAAGCUAUUGUGUUGAUCUCUUUCAAGAAUAUAAGAGUAGAGGAGCUGAAUCAUCCCAAGCAUCUAGUUCAAGUAAAGUUGUUGGCUAUGUUGAGGGUAACCGACUGUCUAGUUUUGAUAGGUUUGUCGCGCUGAGUAGCUCGAACAUGGACACAAGAUUAGAAUUGGAUUCUUAUUUAGAAGAAAAUGUGCUACCCCACGCACCAUCAUUUGAUACUUUAAGUUGGUGGAAGACAAAUAGAUUAAAAUUUCUUAUUUUGUAAAAAAUGGCUCGUGAUCUCUUAGUCAUUCAUGUCUCUACUGUUGCUUCAGAAUUUGCAUUUAGUACUAGUGAGAGAUUGAUUAGUUCACAUCAUAGUAGACUUCAUCCUACUACUUUGGAGGCUUUAAUGUGUGCUCACACUUGGUUAUGGAACGGAAUAAAUGGUAAGUGAUUUUUUCAAUGACUUGUAAUGUUAAUAGUAAAUUUCAAUUUUUAAUACCAUAUAUGUUUCUUUUUAGGUUUGGCUUCAACAGUCAAGACAGUUUCAUGUCCAACAUUACUUGACAAAGAGGAAGAGCCAGAUUCAAGUUGGCUUGUUGGUCGAUAGAGGAGAAAGAGAAUGUCAUUUAUUAAUACAAUUUCUGUUUGAUUCAAGUUGGCUUAUUAUAGUUUGUUGAUACAAUUUCUUGUGAUUUUGUAAUUUGAAUUUGAUAGAUUUUGUUGAGUAUAGACUUUGCUGUUCAGACUUUGUGGCUUAUCUUUAGUUUAUCUUUUAUCUUUUUUUUUUUUUUGGUUUUGCGGUAGUUUGUUGAUAUAAAAUGUUCAAAAUGCUUUAUAGAAUGAGGAAAACUGCGUUUCCAUCAAUACAUAAGUAAAGAUGAAGUAAAUGCUAAAUAGCCAAUUAG